GACGAACGCUGGCGGCGCGCCUAACACAUGCAAGUCGAACGAGCGAGAGAGACCUUGCUUUCUUGUGCGAGUGGCGAACGGGUGAGUAACGCGUGAGGAACCUGCCUCAAAGAGGGGGACAACAGUUGGAAACGACUGCUAAUACCGCAUAAGCCCACGACCCGGCAUCGGGUCGAGGGAAAAGGGGCAAUCCGCUUUGGGAUGGCCGCGUGUCCGAUUAGCUAGUUGGUGGGGUAACGACCCACCAAGGCAACGAUCGGUAGCCGGGAUGAGAGAUUGAGCGGCGACUUUGGGGCGAGGACACAGCCCGGAAUCCUGCGGGAGGCAGGAGUGCGUAAUAUUGCACAGUGGGGGAAGCCCAGAUGGUGCGAGGCUGGGUAAGGGAAGAAGGUUGGCAGGUUGUAAAGUCAUGUUAUUGAGGGAGAUAAUGACGGUACUCAAAGAGGAAGCAACGGCUAACUACGUG
rnacentral:rRNA from 1 species